AGCUACUAGGGAGGCUGAGGCAGGAGAAUGGCGUGAACCCGGGAGGCGGAGCUUGCAGUGAGCCGAGAUCGAGCCUCUGCACUCCAGCCUGGGCCACAGAGCAAAAGAAAAACAAACAAACAAACUUGUCAGCUCCAUCUGCUGUAAGAAUUAUAUGAGUAACAUGGAAAUGCCUGACUAGACCCUGUUCCCGUUUUUACCCUUAGCCCGUUCAAAUCUUCAUAAGGAUAAUUAGUAGCAGUUUGAGUUCUGGGAUUCACACUCCAAACUACUGUUUUACUCACCCAGCUACCCUUUUCUGAAAUACUACUGAAAACCAUACCUGUAUCAGUUUACCUCCAUUGUUUUACUUGAAGUGAAUUCCUGGACCAUCAGACAUUAGACCAAGGCAAAAAAAUAAAAAUAAUCAAUCAAC
ensembl:lncRNA novel transcript, antisense to SLC39A1